UUUGUGCUGUUAUCUCUGGCCUUGUUUGUCUCUUUGUGUCUCAAUGUCAUCUUAUGCAUCCGACGAAAAGCAUCUUCAUGCAAAGACAAAGACGGGUGCUGCUUCACACACAUUUAUACAGGAGAAAGGCCGUCACAGGAGGAAGGACAUCAUUUUUAUAACCUUAAUCGUGAUGAGCAGCAGGAAAAUCAGCCAAAUGAUCACGAGCAGCAG